UACGAAGGGGGCUAGCGUUGUCCGGAAUUAUUGGGCGUAAAGAGCUCGUAGGCGGUUUGUCGCGUCUGCCGUGAAAGUCCGGGGCUCAACUCCGGAUCUGCGGUGGGUACGGGCAGACUAGAGUGAUGUAGGGGAGACUGGAAUUCCUGGUGUAGCGGUGAAAUGCGCAGAUAUCAGGAGGAACACCGAUGGCGAAGGCAGGUCUCUGGGCAUUAACUGACGCUGAGGAGCGAAAGCAUGGGGAGCGAACAGG
rnacentral:rRNA from 1 species